rnacentral:rRNA from 1 species
AAGGAAACUUACAGUGGAUACCUAGACACCCAGAGACAAGGAAAGGCAUAAUAAAUGAUGAAAUGCUUCGGGGAGUUGAAAAUAAGCAUAGAUUUGGAGACUCUUGAAUAGGUCAACCUUUUGAACUACUGCUGAAUCCAUGGGUAGGGAAUAGACAACCUGGUGAACUAAAACAUCUUAGUAGCCAAAGAAAAAGAAAGCAAAAGCGAUUCCAGUAGUAGCAGCGAGCAAAGUGGUAGAAGCCUAAACCAUGAAAACGGGGUUGUGGGAGAGCAAUACAAGCAUCGUGCUGCUAGGCGAAGCGGUGGAGUGCUGCACCCUAAAUGGAGAGAGUCUAGUAACUAAAAGUAUCACUAGCUUACAAUCUGACAUGAGUAGCAUAGGACACAUGGAAUCCCGUGUGAAUCAGCAAGGACCACUUUGCAAGGCUAAAUACUCCUAGAUGAUCGAUAAUGAAGUAGUACCACGAGAGAAUGAUGAAAAGAACCCCUAUCAGGGAGUGUAAAGCUCCCAAGCAGUGGGAGGAGACCAGGGUUCUGACAGCGUGCCUGUUGAAAACUGAGUCGGCAACUUAUAUGCAGUGGCUUGGUUAAGGGAACCACCAGAGCUGUAGCAAAAGCGAGUCUUCAUAGGGCAAUUAUCAUUGCUUAUGGAUCCAAAUCGGGGUGAUCUAUCCAUGACCAGGAUGAAGCUUCGGUGAAACUAAGUGGAGGUCCAAAUCUACUGAUGUUGAAGAAUCAGUGAAUAAGUUGUGGUUAGGGGUGAAAUGCCACUCAAACCCACAACUAGUUGGUUCUCCACGAAAUGCGUUGAGGCACAAUAGUUGACUAGACAUCUAGGGGUAAAGCACUAUUUUGGUACGGGCCACGAGAGCAAUACCAAAUUGAGGCAAACUCUGAAUACUAGAUAUGAUCUUAAAAUAAUAGGGGUCAAGGUUGGCUAGUGAGACGAUGGGGGAUAAGCUUCAUCGUCGAGAGGGAAAUGGGCCUGAUCACCAGCUAAGGCCCCUAAAUGAUUGCUCAGUGAUAAAGGAGGUAAGGGUGCAGAGACAGCUAGGAAGUUUGCCUAAAAGCAGCUACCGUUGAAAAGUGCGUAAUAGCUCAUUGAUCGAAUGCUCUUGUGCAGAAGAUGAAUGGGCUAGGUAAUCUGCCAAAGCUACGGGAUGUAAAAAUACAUCGGUAGGGGAGCAUUCCACCUAUAGGGAAGCACCCGCACGAGCAGUGGUAGAUGAAGCGAAAGCAAGAAUGUCGGCUUGAGUAACGCAAACAUUGGCAAGAAUCCAAUGCCAUGAAAACCUAAGGGUUCAUCCGCAAGGUUCAGCUACGGAGGUUGAGUCAGGGCCUAAGAUCUGCUCGAAAGGCGUAGUAGAUGGACAAUAGUUGAAUAUUCUUAUACUACCCCUUCUUAGUCCCGAGGGACUGAUGAGGCUAGGUUAGCCAAAAGAUAGUUAUCGGUUCAAGGACGUAAGGUGCGCUUGCUUUUUAAGGGUAAAAAGGGGUAGAUAAAAUGGCCCGAGCCAAUGUUAAAGUACUAGGUGCUAUGAUGCUGAAGUAACCCAUGCCAUACUCCUAGGAAAAGCUUGAACGACCUUCAACAAAAGGGUAUCUGUACCCAAAAUCGACACAGGUCGGUAGGUAGAAAAUACCUAGGGGCGCGAGAUAACUUUCUCUAAGGAACUCAGCAAAAUAGCCCAAUAACUUUGGGAGAAAAGGUGCCUCCUCACAAAGGGGGUCGUAGUGACUAGGCUCGAGCGACUGUUUACCAAAAAACACAGGUCUCCGCAAAAUCGUAAGACCAUGUGUGUGGGCUGAUGCUUGCCCAGUGCCGGAAGGUCAAGGAAGUUGGUGACCUAAUGAUAGGGGAGCCGGCGCCCGAAGCCGUGGUGAAUGACGGUCAUAACUAUAACGGUUCUAAGGUGACAAAAUUCCUUAUCAGGUAACUUCUGACUUGCACGAAAGUUGUAACAAUCUGGACACUGUCUUGGAGAGAAGCUCGGUGAAGUAGACAUGUCUGUGAAUAUGCGGACUACUUGUACUUGGACAGAAAGACCCUAUAAAGCUUUACUAUUCCCAGGGGUUGGCUUUGGGCCCUUCCUGCAUAGCUUAGGUAGAAGGCAAACAAGGCCUCCUUCUGGGGGGCGCUCGAGCCAUUAGUGAGAUACCACUCUGGAAGAGCUAGAAUUCUAACCCUGUGUCAGCACCUACGGGCCAAGGGACAGUCUCAGGUAGACAGUUUCUAUGGGGUGUAGGCCUCGCAAGAGGUAACGGAGGCAUGCAAAGGUUUCCUCAGGCCAGACGAUGAUUGGCCCUGGUCAUCGCUCAACAGAUAAGAGUUACUUUAGGGAUAAUAGCCUGAUCUUCGCUAAGAGCUCACAUCAACGGGAAGGUUUGGCACCUCGAUGUUGACUCUUUGCCACCUGGGGCUGUAGCAUGUUCCAAGGGUUAGGUUGUUCACCUGUUAAUGUGGUGCAUGAGCUGGGUUUAGAAUGUUAUGAGAUAGUUCGGCCCAUAUCUGGUGUGGGCAUAAGAGCAUUGAGAGAAUGAUGCGAAUCUGCCCGUGCCCGCACAAUCGACAACCUGCUAGGGUGCUGACCCGAUACGGAUGACGACCAGAUUGAUCACUAGGGCUCAAGUUAAGAGGUUUAGCGACAACCUUGCUGCCUUUAUCUAGGGGGUAAUUCAUUCUCAAUAGGGCUUGUCCAUACCCGAAGGUCCAAGACCUGUUUUGAGCAU